GGGAAUCUACCGUACCCUGCGGAAUAGCUCCGGGAAACUGGAAUUAAUACCGCAUACGCCCUACGGGGGAAAGAUUUAUCGGGGUAUGAUGAGCCCGCGUUGGAUUAGCUAGUUGGUGGGGUAAAGGCCUACCAAGGCGACGAUCCAUAGCUGGUCUGAGAGGAUGAUCAGCCACAUUGGGACUGAGACACGGCCCAAACUCCUACGGGAGGCAGCAGUGGGGAAUAUUGGACGAUGGGCGCAAGCCUGAUCCAGCCAUGCCGCGUGAGUGAUGAAGGCCUUAGGGUUGUAAAGCUCUUUCACCGGUGAAGAUAAUGACGGUAACCGGAGAAGAAGCCCCGGCUAACUUCGUGCCAGCAGCCGCGGUAAUACGAAGGGGGCUAGCGUUGUUCGGAAUUACUGGGCGUAAAGCGCACGUAGGCGGAUAUUUAAGUCAGGGGUGAAAUCCCAGAGCUCAACUCUGGAACUGCCUUUGAUACUGGGUAUCUUGAGUAUGGAAGAGGUAAGUGGAAUUGCGAGU
rnacentral:rRNA from 1 species